AGCGAACGCUGGCGGCAGGCUUAACACAUGCAAGUCGAGCGGGCAUCUUCGGGUGUCAGCGGCGGACGGGUGAGUAACGCGUGGGAACGUGCCUUCUGGUUCGGAAUAACUCAGGGAAACUUGAGCUAAUACCGGAUACGCCCUUCUGGGGAAAGGUUUACUGCCGGAAGAUCGGCCCGCGUCUGAUUAGCUAGUUGGUGGGGUAACGGCCUACCAAGGCGACGAUCAGUAGCUGGUCUGAGAGGAUGAUCAGCCACACUGGGACUGAGACACGGCCCAGACUCCUACGGGAGGCAGCAGUGGGGAAUAUUGGACAAUGGGGGCAACCCUGAUCCAGCCAUGCCGCGUGAGUGAUGAAGGCCUUAGGGUUGUAAAGCUCUUUUAUCCGGGACGAUAAUGACGGUACCGGAGGAAUAAGCCCCGGCUAACUUCGUGCCAGCCGCCGCAGUAA
rnacentral:rRNA from 1 species